UACGUAGGGGGCAAGCGUUGUCCGGAUUUAUUGGGCGUAAAGAGCGUGUAGGCGGCUUUACAGGUCCGUUGUGAAAACUCGAGGCUCAACCUCGAGACGCCGGUGGAAACCGUAAGGCUAGAGUCCGGAAGAGGAGAGUGGAAUUCCUGGUGUAGCGGUGAAAUGCGCAGAUAUCAGGAAGAACACCCGUGGCGAAGGCGGCUCUCUGGGACGGUACUGACGCUGAGGAGCGAAAGCGUGGGGAGCGAACAGG
rnacentral:rRNA from 1 species